rnacentral:lncRNA from 1 species
CAUGAAUAGUAAAAUGUGGACAUAUACUGUAAUUAGUUGUGCUGUGUUUUGCUUGUUAUUGACCUAGCAGAGUACAAUAGGAGAUGAGGUGAAAAGACCGAGACAGAGUUGUCUGGAAGCCACAGCUAUGCCUUUUAAUUAUGGAAAACAAUGGUUUUAAAAUGACAUUUAUCUUCGGUUACAUCUAACUUCAUUUUUCAGUCGUGUGAACUAUAAAGGAAUUUGUACAGUGACAACAUGCUACCAAUCAAUCCAAACCAUAUACUGAGACGGCAAUCAUUUUCCCUUUAGUGUUUAAUUCAUCAUUAAAAAUAGAGUGACCAGAGGAGACUUCAGCACAAAUGUUCUCCUAGGAGGCCUCUGGGUGUGUGUGUGUCUGCUUGUACACAUCUGUGUGUGUACACAUUUGUUCCUGUUUUUGCUACAUAUCAUAUUGUCCAACGUUGGGACAAUCAAGUUUUUAUGAAGAGGAAUGUGUACUUCUGGUGUACCUGCACUCCAUUCUACGAGACAGAGAGGGAUCAGGGACUGGACAGGCCAGCAGUGAGAGACCAGCAUGAUGACUAACUCCAUCCACAGCUACUGUUGUUAUUGUUGUUGUUGAGUCAGUUGGACUAACUCCAUCCACAGCUACUGUUGUUAUUGUUGUUAUUGAGUCAGUUGGACUAACUCCAUCCACAGCUACUGUUGUUAUUGUUGUUAUUGAGUCAGUUGGACUAACUCCAUCCACAGCUACUGUUGUUAUUGUUGUUGUUGAGUCAGUUGGACUAACUCCAUCCACAGCUACUGUUGAUAUUGUUGUUGUUGAGUCAGUUGGACUAACUCCAUCCACAGCUACUGUUGAUAUUGUUGUUGUUGAGUCAGUUGGACUAACUCCAUCCACAGCUACUGUUGAUAUUGUUGUUGUUGAGUCAGUUGGACUAGCUCCAUCCACAGCUACUGUUGUUAUUGUUGCCAGUUGGACUAGAUCCAUCCACAGCUACUGUUGUUAUUGUUGUUGUUGAGUCAGUUGGACAAGCUCCAUCCACAGCUACUGUUGAUAUUGUUGUUGUUGAGUCAGUUGGACUAACUCCAUCCACAGCUACUGUUGAUAUUGUUGUUGUUGAGUCAGUUGGACUAACUCCAUCCACAGCUACUGUUGAUGUUGUUGUUGAGUCAGUUGGACUAACUCCAUCCACAGCUACUGUUGAUAUUGUUGUUAUUGUUGUCAGUUGGACUAGCUCCAUCCACAGCUACUGCUGUUAUUGUUGUUGUUGAGUCAGUUGGACUAACUCCAUCCACAGCUACUGUUGAUAUUGUUGUUAUUGAGUCAGUUGGACUAACUCCAUCCACAGCUACUGUUGAUGUUGUUGUUGUCAGUUGGACUAACUCCAUCCACAGCUACUGUUGAUAUUGUUGUUAUUGUUGUCAGUUGGACUAACUCCAUCCACAGCUACUGUUGAUAUUGAGUCAGUUGGACUAACUCCAUCCACAGCUACUGUUGAUAUUGAGUCAGUUGGACUAACUCCAUCCACAGCUACUGUUGAUAUUGAGUCAGUUGGACUAACUCCAUCCACAGCUACUGUUGUUAUUGAGUCAGUUGGACUAACUCCAUCCACAGCUACUGUUGUUAUUGUUGAGUCAGUUGGACUAACUCCAUCCACAGCUACUGUUGUUAUUGAGUCAGUUGGACUAGCUCCAUCCACAGCUACUGUUGAUAUUGUUGUUAUUGAGUCAGUUGGACUAACUCCAUCCACAGCUACUGUUGUUAUUGUUGAGUCAGUUGGACUAGCUCCAUCCACAGCCACUGCUGUUAUUGUUGUUGUUGAGUCAGUUGGACUAACUCCAUCCACAGCUACUGUUGAUAUUGUUGUUGUUGAGUCAGUUGGACUAACUCCAUCCACAGCUACUGUUGAUAUUGUUGUUGUUGAGUCAGUUGGACUAACUCCCUCCACAGCUACUGUUGUUAUUGUUGUCAGUUUGACUAACUCCAGCCACAACUACUGUUGUUAUUGAGUCAGUUGGACUAGCUCCAUCCACAGCUACUGUUGAUAUUGUUGUUGUUGAGUCAGUUGGACUAACUCCAUCCGCAGCUACUGUUGAUAUUGUUGUUGUUGAGUCAGUUGGACUAGCUCCAUCCACAGCUACUGUUGUUGUUAUUGAGUCAGUUGGACUAGCUCCAUCCACAGCUACUGUUGAUAUUGUUGUUGUUGAGUCAGUUGGACUAGCUCCAUCCACAGCUACUGUUGAUAUUGUUGUUAUUGUUGUCAGUUGGACUAGCUCCAUCCACAGCUACUGUUGUUAUUGUUGUCAGUUGGACUAGAUCCAUCCACAGCUACUGUUGAUAUUGUUGUUGUUGAGUCAGUUGGACUAACUCCAUCCACAGCUACUGUUGAUAUUGUUGUUAUUGUUGUCAGUUGGACUAACUCCAUACACAGCUACUGUUGUUAUUGUUGUUAUUGAGUCAGUUGGACUAACUCCAUCCACAGCUACUGUUGAUAUUGUUGUUGUUGAGUCAGUUGGACUAGCUCCAUCCACAGCUACUGUUGAUAUUGUUGUUAUUGAGUCAGUUGGACUAACUCCAUCCACAGCUACUGUUGAUAUUGUUGUUGUUGAGUCAGUUGGACUAACUCCAUCCACAGCUACUGUUGUUAUUGUUGUUGUUGAGUCAGUUGGACUAGCUCCAUCCACAGCUACUGUUGUUAUUGUUGUUGUUGAGUCAGUUGGACUAGCUCCAUCCACAGCUACUGUUGAUAUUGUUGUUGUUGAGUCAGUUGGACUAGCUCCAUCCACAGCUACUGUUGUUGUUAUUGAGUCAGUUGGACUAACUCCAUCCACAGGUACUGUUGUUAUUGAGUCAGUUGGACUAGCUCCAUCCACAGCUACUGUUGAUAUUGUUGUUGUUGAGUCAGUUGGACUAACUCCAUCCACAGCUACUGUUGAUAUUGUUGUUGUUGAGUCAGUUGGACUAGCUCCAUCCACAGCUACUGUUGAUAUUGUUGUUGUUGAGUCAGUUGGACUAGCUCCAUCCACAGCUACUGUUGAUAUUGUUGUUAUUGAGUCAGUUGGACUAACUCCAUCCACAGCUACUGUUGUAUUGUUGUUAUUGUUGUCAGUUGGACUAGCUCCAUCCACAGCUACUGUUGUUAUUGUUGUUGGGUCAGUUGGACUAGCUCCAUCCACAGCUACUGUUGAUAUUGUUGUUGUUGAGUCAGUUGGACUAACUCCAUCCACAGCUACUGUUGAUAUUGUUGAGUCAGUUGGACUAACUCCAUCCACAGCUACUGUUGUUAUUGUUGUUUCAGUUGGACUAACUCCAUCCACAGCUACUGUUGAUAUUGUUGUUAUUGAGUCAGUUGGACUAACUCCAUCCACAGCUACUGUUGAUAUUGUUGUUGUUGAGUCAGUUGGACUAGCUCCAUCCACAGCUACUGUUGAUAUUGUUGUUAUUGAGUCAGUUGGACUAACUCCAUCCACAGCUACUGUUGAUAUUGUUGUUGUUGAGUCAGUUGGACUAACUCCAUCCACAGCUACUGUUGUUAUUGUUGUUGUUGAGUCAGUUGGACUAACUCCAUCCACAGCUACUGUUGAUAUUGUUGUUGUUGAGUCAGUUGGACUAGCUCCAUCCACAGCUACUGUUGAUAUUGUUGUUGUUGAGUCAGUUGGACUAGCUCCAUCCACAGCUACUGUUGAUAUUGUUGUUGUUGAGUCAGUUGGACUAGCUCCAUCCACAGCUACUGUUGUUAUUGUUGAGUCAGUUGGACUAACUCCAUCCACAGCUACUGUUGUUAUUGAGUCAGUUGGACUAGCUCCAUCCACAGCUACUGUUGUUAUUGUUGUUGUUGAGUCAGUUGGACUAACUCCAUCCACAGCUACUGUUGAUAUUGUUGUUGUUGAGUCAGUUGGACUAGCUCCAUCCACAGCUACUGUUGUUGUUAUUGAGUCAGUUGGACUAGCUCCAUCCACAGCUACUGUUGAUAUUGUUGUUGUUGAGUCAGUUGGACUAGCUCCAUCCACAGCUACUGUUGAUAUUGUUGUUAUUGUUGUCAGUUGGACUAGCUCCAUCCACAGCUACUGUUGUUAUUGUUGUCAGUUGGACUAGCUCCAUCCACAGCUACUGUUGAUAUUGUUGUUGUUGAGUCAGUUGGACUAGCUCCAUCCACAGCUACUGUUGAUAUUGUUGUUAUUGAGUCAGUUGGACUAACUCCAUCCACAGCUACUGUUGAUAUUGUUGUUGUUGAGUCAGUUGGACUAACUCCAUCCACAGCUACUGUUGUUAUUGUUGUUGUUGAGUCAGUUGGACUAGCUCCAUCCACAGCUACUGUUGAUAUUGUUGUUGUUGAGUCAGUUGGACUAGCUCCAUCCACAGCUACUGUUGUUAUUGUUGUUGUUGAGUCAGUUGGACUAGCUCCAUCCACAGCUACUGUUGAUAUUGUUGUUGUUGAGUCAGUUGGACUAGCUCCAUCCACAGCUACUGUUGUUAUUGUUGUCAGUUUGACUAACUCCAUCCACAACUACUGUUGUUAUUGAGUCAGUUGGACUAGCUCCAUCCACAGCUACUGUUGUUAUUGUUGUUGUUGAGUCAGUUGGACUAACUCCAUCCACAGCUACUGUUGAUAUUGUUGUUGUUGAGUCAGUUGGACUAGCUCCAUCCACAGCUACUGUUGUUGUUAUUGAGUCAGUUGGACUAGCUCCAUCCACAGCUACUGUUGAUAUUGUUGUUGUUGAGUCAGUUGGACUAGCUCCAUCCACAGCUACUGUUGAUAUUGUUGUUAUUGUUGUCAGUUGGACUAGCUCCAUCCACAGCUACUGUUGUUAUUGUUGUCAGUUGGACUAGCGCCAUCCACAGCUACUGUUGAUAUUGUUGUUGUUGAGUCAGUUGGACUAACUCCAUCCACAGCUACUGUUGAUAUUGUUGUUAUUGUUGUCAGUUGGACUAGCUUCAUCCACAGCUACUGUUGUUAUUGUUGUUGUUGAGUCAGUUGGACUAACUCCAUCCACAGCUACUGUUGAUAUUGUUGUUGUUGAGUCAGUUGGACUAGCUCCAUCCACAGCUACUGUUGAUAUUGUUGAGUCAGUUGGACUAACUCCAUCCACAGCUACUGUUGAUAUUGUUGUUGUUGAGUCAGUUGGACUAACUCCAUCCACAGCUACUGUUGAUAUUGUUGUUGUUGAGUCAGUUGGACUAGCUCCAUCCACAGCUACUGUUGUUAUUGUUGUUGUUGAGUCAGUUGGACUAGCUCCAUCCACAGCUACUGUUGAUAUUGUUGUUGUUGAGUCAGUUGGACUAGCUCCAUCCACAGCUACUGUUGUUAUUGUUGAGUCAGUUGGACUAGCUCCAUCCACAGCUACUGUUGUUGUUGUUGUUGAGUCAGUUGGACUAACUCCAUCCACAGCUACUGUUGUUGUUGUUGAGUCAGUUGGACUAACUCCAUCCACAGCUACUGUUGUUAUUGAGUCAGUUGGACUAGCUCCAUCCACAGCUACUGUUGAUAUUGUUGUUGUUGAGUCAGUUGGACUAACUCCAUCCACAGCUACUGUUGAUAUUGUUGUUGUUGAGUCAGUUGGACUAGCUCCAUCCACAGCUACUGUUGUUGUUGUUGAGUCAGUUGGACUAGCUCCAUCCACAGCUACUGUUGAUAUUGUUGUUGUUGAGUCAGUUGGACUAGCUCCAUCCACAGCUACUGUUGAUAUUGUUGUUAUUGUUGUCAGUUGGACUAGCUCCAUCCACAGCUACUGUUGUUAUUGUUGUCAGUUGGACUAGCUCCAUCCACAGCUACUGUUGAUAUUGUUGUUGUUGAGUCAGUUGGACUAACUCCAUCCACAGCUACUGUUGAUAUUGUUGUUAUUGUUGUCAGUUGGACUAGCUCCAUCCACAGCUACUGUUGUUAUUGUUGUUAUUGAGUCAGUUGGACUAACUCCAUCCACAGCUACUGUUGAUAUUGUUGUUGUUGAGUCAGUUGGACUAGCUCCAUCCACAGCUACUGUUGAUAUUGUUGUUAUUGAGUCAGUUGGACUAACUCCAUCCACAGCUACUGUUGAUAUUGUUGUUGUUGAGUCAGUUGGACUAACUCCAUCCACAGCUACUGUUAUUGUUGUCAGUUGGACUAGCUCCAUCCACAGCUACUGCUGUUAUUGUUGUUGUUGAGUCAGUUGGACUAACUCCAUCCACAGCUACUGUUGAUAUUGUUGUUAUUGAGUCAGUUGGACUAACUCCAUCCACAGCUACUGUUGAUAUUGUUGUUGUUGAGUCAGUUGGACUAACUCCAUCCACAGCUACUGUUGUUAUUGUUGUUGUUGAGUCAGUUGGACUAGCUCCAUCCACAGCUACUGUUGUUAUUGUUGUUGUUGAGUCAGUUGGACUAGCUCCAUCCACAGCUACUGUUGAUAUUGUUGUUGUUGAGUCAGUUGGACUAGCUCCAUCCACAGCUACUGUUGUUAUUGUUGUCAGUUGGACUAGCUCCAUCCACAGCUACUGUUGAUAUUGUUGUUAUUGAGUCAGUUGGACUAACUCCAGCUACUGUUGUUAUUGUUAAGUCUUGUCUCUACGCUGCCAGCAUCUCUCUGUUCUCCUUGUUCCUUGCUGGUCUUCUCUCUUGAGAACAAAAAAACAUGGUCAGGGACUGUAUCUACAAAGUGUCUCAGAGUAAGAGUGCUGAUCUAGGAUCAGGUCCCUCUGUUCAUAUAAUCCUAUUAAUAAAUGACGUAAAAAGGCCAAACUGUUCCUAGAUCAGCUUUUACUGUG